rnacentral:rRNA from 1 species
UACGUAGGGUGCGAGCGUUGUCCGGAAUUAUUGGGCGUAAAGAGCUCGUAGGCGGUGUGUCACGUCGGCCGUGAAAACCUGCAGCUUAACUGUGGGCGUGCGGUCGAUACGGGCAUCACUGGAGUUCGGCAGGGGAGACUGGAAUUCAUGGUGUAGCAGUGAAAUGCGUAGAGAUCAUGAGGAAGACCAGUGGCGAAGGCGGUCUCUGGACAGUUCCUGACACUGAGACACGAAGGCCAGGGGAGCAAACGGG